AAUAACAGUAAAGCAGAAUGGCUACAGACAAUUAAUUCAAAAUUGAAGAGAUGCAGGUUUUUGUUCAAUAUGGUGUAUGAGGGAACCAUGGUGGAAAUUUGGAUUUCAUGGCAGUCAUAGAAAUAUCUAAUCAGUCUGUUCUACAGUGAUGUGUGUACCAGUCUGUCAGACUAUUGCGUGUCUGUCCAGUUGACAAAUUCGCAAUAGAUUCGUAGAUUCUGAAAUAAUUUGGCAGGGUUUUCACAGUUACAAAGACAGAUUGCAGAAGAUUUGAGUACCCAAAACCCUGAAAUGAGAGCACUUGCACAAUGUGAAGUUUGUCGCAUUGAAGGGGAUUCACCGUCUUUGUGUAUAUAAGUCUACAACUUCUCAGAUUUGACUGAAGACAAUUGUUUGGUGUUGUGAAUAGAGAAAUAUAUGAGGUAGGGCUCUGCAGUUUUCCAUAAACACAACAAGAAGUUUACAUUUGUUGCACAGAGUUGUGUCUCACAUGUAUGGAGUUGAAGGAAUAGUUACAGGAAAAGGGUACAGAAUAUGUAAGAAUAUGACAGCCAAACAUCUUCCCCAGGAUUCGAUGCAGCAACCUUCUGAUAGAAGGAUGUACCUGUUGUGCAAAGGGUCUAAGCUGGCUUGGUGACAGG